rnacentral:rRNA from 1 species
CCUGAGAAACGGCUACCACAUCCAAGGAAGGCAGCAGGCGCGCAAAUUACCCACUCCCGGCACGGGGAGGUAGUGACGAAAAAUAACGAUACGGGACUCUUUCGAGACCCCGUAAUCGGAAUGAGUACGCUCUAAAUCCGCUAACGACGAACCAUUGGAGGUAAAGUCUGGUGCCAGCAUCCGCGGUAACUCCAGCUCCAAUAGCGUAUAUUAAAGUUGUUGCGGUUAAAAAGCUCGUAGUUGGAUCUGAGUCUCUGCCCGGCGGUCUGCCCCUUCCCGGGGCAGCCUACUGCCGCGACUGCGGGACGUCUGCCGGCUUCCGCCGAUGAUCUUCACCGGUUGUCGGUGGCAGGCCGGCGAGUUUACUUUGAAAAAAUUAGAGUGCUCAAAGCAGGCGCGACGCCUGAAUAAUGGUGCAUGGAAUAAUGGAAUAGGACCUCGGUUCUAUUUUGUUGGUUUUUAGGAACACGAGGUAAUGAUUAAGAGGAACGGACGGGGGCAUUCGUAUUGCGACGCUAGAG